rnacentral:lncRNA from 1 species
UCGCCACCGCAACAUCCAUUUGUUGAAGUUUCUGGAUCAUUUGUUCCAUUUACGCAUUAUUGAGGCCUCCUUUAACAUCCCCCAGUGAGGCUCCAGCAUUCUCUCCGGAGAGGUCUGCACAUCUUUGGUUGUGUCUGUCCUUACGUUCUUCGGAUUUAUUGACGUAACGGUAAAUUCAUGGCAUCUCUUCCAAACCCCAUUUUCCCGUCUGUCCAGAUAAAUGGCAACAUAUCUGGUUUUUCUGACAAAACUAUAUCUAGCGACUUCACUAAACUGUCUCAAUAACUUUAAUAACGGAUAUCUGUGUGCCCAUUGGGAUUUUCUACACACAGUCACGUGAUCUGAAAACAUUUCCCCUUCUGAGCAUCUUUUGUUCCUUUUCACCGGCUCUGGCUGGGAGCCCCGGGCGCUGAGUGGAGGCGGGUUAGCAAACGUCCUUGUUUUGUUCUCAGUCCUGCAGGCGCGCUUUUCAGGGUCAGGAGGACACAGGACAUUUCCUGCAAACGGCCUUUCCCACAUUCCCGUCUAGUAGAAGAUUGCGGAGUCUUUUUAAGAAGCCUAAGCGGGAUGUUGAGUUUCAUCAAUACUUUUUUCCACAUUGGUCGAGUUGAUCAUACAAUUCCCUUCCUUUGGUCUGUCACCAUGGUGAAGUAAGCUGAUUCUAACGCUAAAUAAGCCCACGGGGGUCCUGAGGUUUCAUCCGGGCCGCUCGGGCUGCCCCACCCUGCAUGGUCGCGUCUGUGCUGGCCGGACGUGCCAGCCGCGAGUCGCUCUCCGCUUCCAGCGUCCAGCUUUGCUGACAAAGGUGACCAAGUGAGCUCCGAGAACUAAUUUCUGCUUCCCAAGAUGGAAGAAGAUGCUAGCCUAUUCCCUAAGGAGCUUUUGGACAAUAUCCCGCUUGUGGAAGAUGAAAGAGACGAACUAGAAAAUCCAGAGUUUGAGGUUGAAUUUCUUCCUCCAGAAGCUGGAAACAGUGCUGACUCGGGAUGCCUCUGGUAAUUAAUCUGGGUGGGCAGCUUGCUUCUUCCCACCCCAACCUGGGCAUCCUCUGCAGAAAGGUGGAGCUGGGCUGCGAAGGCAGUUGGUGUCCUUUCUACAUUAAGCCCAGAGAAAGAGCACAACACUGAUGCUGAUAUAAGUAAGAAGAAAACAGCCAUCCCAGAUCGACUCCAGGCAUGCCACCUGCGAAAGACCUUGAGCCACCUAGAGAAGCUGCGCGAAGAGAAAGAGCUUUUCAUUCAGAAAACCAGGUGAGGGGCGCCUGGGUGGCUCCGUUAG